AGAUAAUAUUGGUACUAUUUAUUAGCACUACUUAGUCUUAGCCCGAAAAGGAAACCACCAGUUUUAUUCUGCAUGAGUACGCGCACUAUGGUGCGCCGUUCGAGAGGUUUUCUAAAGUGUGGUCAUCAGUACCUUCGUGAUGUUGUAGCAGCUGCUUGUUUCAAUAGCAAGGGAAAACAAUGAAGGCUUCGCUUAUGUGCCUGGCGCUUGGCAUCGUCAGUAUACUCUGUUUCAGAGAAGCAUAUGGCAUUCCCGUCUAUACCUCAGUUAGUAAGCCAUCAAUUAGGACUAUGUUAGGCGACGAUGGCAUAUGUCGUAAGGGAUACAAACAAGUACUCGGAACGGCAACUUCAUGCCGCUACACAUGCUCAGCUGGUGAUAUUGGUGAAGGCGCUGAUUUCUACACUGGUGAGAUGUCUGACGGGCAUCGAUGUCGCGAAUCAGGCAGAUUCUGGGGCGCGUGCAAAGGUGGCCGCUGUGCACCAGAAGAAAGCUUCACUGUGUCCGAAUAAAACUUGUGUGUGUUAUGAUGAAUCUGGCCAAAUUUUUAGUUAGAUGUUUUUGAAAGAACUGAAACUUCGUUGCAACAAUACAAAGUAAGAAAUAUUAAUUUUACUGAAACUAGAAAUGUGUUUUUCAGCGAAAAGCGCUUUUUAGUAUACUACAUUUUGCUGAUACAAGCAACAGUGCUGAAACUCAUCGUUGCGGAACCGUUUACACUGUAUACAAUAUCAUAUAUAAUUUCAGACUAUCCUGAAAAUUGUCUAAGAAAAACUCAUUAGAGGUAGCGAAAUUAACAAACCUAGUAUUAUUUUGUUGGUACUGUUUGAUAGUCCAACGCAAGCACUUGAUAGUAAUACGAUCGUUAAACAUAUCCCCCUAAUCGCCAUAUUCCCUCUAAUUCAUAAGAAUAUUACGCUGACAUACUAUCAAUAACUUUUUGUAUCAGAAUAAAAAACAAGUUUAUAAAUGUGCAGCGUUACUAAGCUAAAGUAAUAAACACAAAAAAUUUUUGUCCGUCGAGCCGGAUUUGAACCAGCGACCUAAGGAUAACUGCUAUAUUUUCUACAGUCCUCCGCUCUACCAACUGAGCUAUCGACGGUACAUGCCAUACCACGACAAAGCAGAUCGCCAAGUCUAGUGAACCGAAAUAAUAAUAAAUAUUAGCUUUUAACUUUUGCA